GAUGAACGCUAGCGGCAGGCUUAACACAUGCAAGUCGAGGGGUAUUUAUUUUCGGAUAGAGAGACCGGCGCACGGGUGCGUAACGCGUAUGCAAUCUACCUUUCACAGAGGGAUAGCCCAGAGAAAUUUGGAUUAAUACCUCAUAGUAUGCAGAGUUGGCAUCAACACUGCAUUAAAGUCACAACGGUGAAAGAUGAGCAUGCGUCCCAUUAGCUAGUUGGUAAGGUAACGGCUUACCAAGGCUACGAUGGGUAGGGGUCCUGAGAGGGAGAUCCCCCACACUGGUACUGAGACACGGACCAGACUCCUACGGGAGGCAGCAGUGAGGAAUAUUGGACAAUGGGCGCAAGCCUGAUCCAGCCAUGCCGCGUGCAGGAUGACGGUCCUAUGGAUUGUAAACUGCUUUUGCACAGGAAGUAAC
rnacentral:rRNA from 1 species